AUGCCCAGGGAGAGCAUCAUUGGGUAAGCGAGCUGUCAUUUAGCGUUCCUUAGGUGUUGACUGGAUGAAGCCAAAAUAAAGCCAGCCAAUGCCUAGCCAACAAAGUUUUGAUUGAUGGGGAUAGUAACCAAUCAUAAACGAUUACAAGGAUUCAGUUUGAUUGGUUUGUGUCGGUAAAAUGUGCGUCUGCGAAGAUCUGCGCAAACACACGUACGCUUGCGCAACCAAAUGCUGUUAUGCUAGCGGCUAUGGCUAGUUAUACAGAGCUUAAAGAAACGAUAAGGUUUAGAUAUAAAUAUCUCCGUUUUGGAUCGUCGAUUGCAGAUUACUUUUUUGUUUUGGAGAAGGUGAUGAGGAGCACGAGCGAGGUGCAAAAAGACCAGACUCUAUCAAAAUAAAGACGCGUCACCAGAGAUGCAUUGAGCAGUGGAGCUGCUGCUCAGAUACAGGCUUCAGCUGACACAGAUGAGGACUGCAAUCUGGAGUCCAUUCCUGAGCGACCACAUUCAAAAUAAACAAGUAUUUUGUUAUAA